rnacentral:RNase_P_RNA from 1 species
CUGGAAGGGCGGAGAAUCGCUCUCGUGCCGCGCGAGCGGGGCGGGGGAGGAAAGUCCGAACACCACAGGGCGCGAUGCCGCGUAACCCGGCCACCGGAUUCCCGGCGGCGCUUGAGGAUACACGCGGGCGGCGACGCCGCGAGGCGUCCCGACGGAUAGUGCCACAGAAAACAAACCGCCGGCCGUGAAGUUCACGGCGGGUAAGGGUGAAAAGGUGGGGUAAGAGCCCACCGCUCGGCGCGCAAGCAACGAGGCACGGAAAACCCCAUCGGGUGCAAGGCCAAAUAGGGGACGGCGAAGCGGCCCGCUUCCGUUCCGCGCGAGUGGAACGCGUCCCGGGUACUGGCUGCUUAGACAAAUGAUUCUCUCCCCCGAACGCUUCGGGGCAGACAGAAUUCGGCUUACAGCCCUUCCGGAACC